AUUACUUAAGUCAGUCGCGACGCUCCGCAGGCACCGUAUUUGCGCACGGAACGCGCGCGCAAGGCACUAGCGAGCGCCGUCGAGGGGCAGCAGCGCAGCACGCACCACUCGGGGGGGGCGCGUGCAAGAGACACGGACGAGGGUCGGCCGCCGCCGCCGGGGGCACGAUGCGUGUUUUGUUGUGUUGUGCAACAUCACGAACGCACGCAGACGACGUGGGUGUACGUCCAACGUAAGCAAGUGGCGCGACGUAGGCGUUGCGACGACCGACCGCCGCGACGUUGCGAGCCGACGACGCGAUAACGCUCUCACGCCUGUGAUAAGCCCGCCGUCGAGACUGGUGUUAUGUGAUAAAUACGUAUUGUUAGGUAUAGUUGUUAUAUAUGGGUGAGAAAAACUGUGAUGCGCCGCCGUUGAAGAAUGCCGCCAUGGGCGCCAAGCGUCCCGACAGCCUGCCGCUCAACGCCGCCGUCACCAAACUCUGGCAGAAGCCGCCGAUCUCGCCGUCGCUGCGACGCGAUUCAACCACCGGGCGCGCCCGUCUGACACCCGCCCCCGAGCAGACUCCGCCUCUGCCCACAGCCAAGGCCAAGGUUACCACGUGCCUGCAGGUGACGCCGUCGCCGGCCACACCAGGUGGUAGCGGAGGCGGCGCGCAUCAGCGUUCGUUCACCAGCGUUAAUCUUACACUGCGCCCGCCUAGUUCCGAGCCGCAGCCGCCCAUUGAGAUCACGUCGGCGAACGCCAGCCUCACCUACUCAACGAGCAGCUUCGAUAUUGAAAAAGGUCUUGAGUCACGCCUCCAGAUCACUGUUAGUCCCACCGGCGGCAGUGUGGCGUCGUUUCGUCGGAGGCGGCCGCGCCCGCUCAGCUGCCAUGACGACACCUCCGAAGGUAUACCCAGCGGCAGCGCCGUGCAUCACUCUAUGCCCGACCUAUCACUGCCGCCCUCACCGACCGUCCAGCGACAACAGGCGAAGAUAGAUCGGCUAAAAAUCGAACUAAAAGCUGAGCGGAAUAAACUCGCAGCGAUGCAACAAGAGGUGCUACGUCUGGAACAACAAGAAAGCACAGCUAAUGAAGACGCAGUUAACGAACAACUUGAGAAACAAUUACUGCGCGAAAUACUCCACCUGCGUAGACAAUGUGAGAAUCUUUCCAUUGAGGUGGAUCAGGGUGUGGAACAACAGCGACGAGACGCGGAAUUCUAUAGUAAUAUCUACGUCGGGCAGCGCCAUCCGCCCAACUUCGGGCGACCAUCGUCGGCAUCCACCGACACCAGUGGCAGCGGCGACACCGGCGGCUGGUCGUGCCCCUCAUGCACAUUCCACAAUCAUCCCUCGAUGGGCAAGUGCGAGCAGUGCGACAUGCCACACAUCCUCCACGGUAUACUUGCGGCGCAGCUGAAGGCCCUCUCUACGCCGUUGAACUUACCAAAAAUCGCAUAACCUCUGCAUUGACGUUAUCGGCCGCCCCCGGAGACAAUAUUCACAUACAUGUGACGCCUCGAAUAACACGGAGAAUAGUUCAUUCGUGGGUGAUAUAAAGCAAUGUAAAUAACGAACGAACCUCCACACGUAAAUUUAUUCAAAUUAUCACAUAUUUUUGCAAGUAAAGUAUUGAUUAUGAUAUGAUUAGACAACUGAAACGAGA